rnacentral:rRNA from 1 species
UACGGGGGGAGCAAGCGUUGUUCGGAUUUACUGGGCGUAAAGGGCGCGUAGGCGGUCGUGACAAGUCACUUGUGAAAUCUCCGGGCUUAACUCGGAACGGUCAAGUGAUACUGUCGGACUAGAGUACAGAAGGGGCAACUGGAAUUCUCGGUGUAGCGGUGAAAUGCGUAGAUAUCGAGAGGAACACCUGCGGCGAAGGCGGGUUGCUGGGCUGAUACUGACGAGUGAGGCGCGAAAGCUAGGGGAGCGAACGGG